GCGGAUCCGCCCUCAGGUCGCUAGAUCCGCCCUCAGGUCGCCAGGUCGCUAGAUCCGCCCGCAGGUCGCUAGAUCCGCCCUACUGCCGCACUCGGUUUGGUCAUGUGAACCGGAUCCACCCGCAUCUGCAUCCGGUUCACACAGCGGCGGUUGUUCUAAAUCGUUGCUCCUCUGACUUCUGCGGCUCGACUUUCCAAACUGGAAUUUUCAAACCUGCAGCUCUUCGCGCCAGACAUAUUACUUAGUUUUACAGAAGUGUUCAUCAGGAUCGAUCUCUACAAUUCAGGAUGUUCCAUCUGAUUGAAUUCUUGGACAGCAAAACAGUAGCAGUCGUGCCACAAAGCUGGUACAGUGGUGGUGGCUGCGUUGCCAGAUUACCCGAGGGAUGAAAGGGUGGACAAGGCGGUCCGAAGUGCCGAAGAACCUCAACCUGACUGGCAGACACAUUAUGUCAGAAUAAUUAGAUCAUGCGAUGAUUACUUGGUGGCAAGGCGAUGGUUAACAAAAUAUAUGUCCUGUGACAUCUGAUCUCCAUUCAGAAGAGGAGGCAAUUCCUAAAAGGAGAAAGCCAAUGCCUGUCCAUUUCUUUGGGGACUCGGAUGCAGACAGCGAGACUGAAAAUCGCCACCCCAAAAAAAAAAAAGGGUCCAACCACUAGCAGGACAGUUGCCCCUCCUCCAACUAUUGCCCCUCCUCCACCACGGACUUCAUCACCAGCAGGACAGCGAACAAGCCAUGCAGGGUACACACCAACCUGGCGAGGGGCGAGGUGUGGUUCAGACACCAUUGCCUGCUGUGCUGCUCAAGUUCAAAUGAUGGCCAUGCUGGAGACGCUUACACAGCAGGUCCAUCAAUUAACACAGCAGGUCCAUCAAUUAACUUCCAAAAUUGACAGCUUUGUUCCCAGCGUGACACAAAUGUCUGGUCAAGAAGUGGAGUGGAGAGUCUCGUUGCCGUUGACCACAAUGGAGGAAGUGGACAUGUUUGAGCAACAGCUCAAAGAUCCAGCCAACGCUUUAAUGAAGAAGAGUGUGACUUCAUCACCAGCAGGACAGCGAACAAGCCAUGCAGGGUACACACCAACCUGGCGAGGGGCGAGGUGUGAGGUGUGGUUCAGACACCAUUGCCUGCUGUGCUGCUCAAGUUCAAAUGAUGGCCAUGCUGGAGACGCUUACACAGCAGGUCCAUCAAUUAACACAGCAGGUCCAUCAAUUAACUUCCAAAAUUGACAGCUUUGUUCGCCCCAGCGUGACACAAAUGUCUGGUCAAGAAGUGGAGUGGAGAGACCCGUUUCCGUUGACCACAAUGGAGGAAGUGGACAUGUUUGAGCAACAGCUCAAAGAUCCAGCCAACGCUUUAAUGAAGAAGAGUGUGACUUCAUCACCAGCAGGACAGCGAACAAGCCAUGCAGGGUACACACCAACCUGGCGAGGGGCGAGGUGUGAGGUGUGGUUCAGACACCAUUGCCUGCUGUGCUCAAAGAUCCAGCCAACGCUAUAAUGAAGGAGAGUGAUUUCCUCCCUGGGAACAAUCGGAGGACAUGAUGUAAAACGUGCAACAUGGAACAUCCUCGCACGCAUGUUCACUGAUGAUGUUGGCAAGUCCAUAAAUUGGAAAGGGAUUCAUGGAAAAAAAUCUUUCAAUCUAAUGACGUCCAAGACUUUGCUCCUGCGUGAAUGUUACUCAACUAUACCUUUACAUAAUAGUUAUAUGAUAUAUUAGCUCUAUGGAGUGGAGAUGGUCAGCUGCUUCAGGUUCCUCGGGGUCAACAUCAGCAACGACCUCACCUGGUCUGCUCACACAGACAAGGUGGUCAAAGCGGCCCAGAAGCGCCUCUUCUUCCUGAGGAGACUGAAGAAGUUUGGCAUGGAUUCAGUCAUCCUCACCAAUUUCUACAGAUGCACAAUAGAAAGCAUCCUGACUGGGUGCAUCACAGUGUGGGAGCUGCACAGCCAAGGACCGCAAGGCCCUACGCAGUGUGGUCAGGACUGCGGAGUUCAUCAUCGAUGCUGUCAGAAAGAAUCACUCAACACAUGCGUCCACUGACGACCAGGUUCUUAAGCACGCCAUUCGGUGGUUCAACCUGGCAGCAGACCGGGGUAGCUCCAGGAGGCGUGCUACUGUAGACGUCCCCCACACUGAACAGACUUAAAAUAUAUCUUUUUUAAAUGUGUGUGUAUAUAAAUUUGUCCUUUCAAAUAAAAAACUGUUUGACAUUA